GUCAGUACUAAGAAGUUAUUGGAAAUAAGAUUUCUGCCUUAUGGAGUGGGCCCUCUGUUACUGUAUGUUCUUGUGGCUUCUGAGUCAGCAUUACAGGGAACUGUGGGAGCCUGCAUGGCUGCCCAGAAGCACCGUGGUCUAAUGGAAAACAGCAGGGCUUUCAACAAGAACCCCAAGUUCUUAUUUGAGCAACCAGUUUUCCCUUGGGUGACCUUUGACUAUUUAACUUAUCAGGACUUCAGAUUCCUGAUUUAUAACCUCAGAAUAAAACCAUCUUGGAUAUUUAGAAGUGUUGACAUGCCUCAGUAAAUUUUAGUUAGCCAUUUUUUUCUUAGCCUUCUCCUAUCACACAUGAGAAAAAUAUUUAAAGGAUAUGACAACAAUAAAGAAGAAAGAAAUGAAGAAUGACAGUGAAAUGUAACCAGAUACUUCUUUAAGACCUUUGCAUCUGGAUUCCAUUACUUGCCAUAGUGGAUAUCAAAGAAGAUGGAUUUGAAGUUUGGGUUGAAACAUGAGAGAUGACAAAAUGGCAUUGUAGAAUGAGAAGACACGAAAACAAGGAUCUUCAUUUCCCCUGCCAUGUCUAAUGAAUUGUAGAGAACCCGGGGAAGAUUUCGUACUUUCAAAUCCAUGUGUGGAGUGAAGAGGCGGGGACAGGGAUGACGAGUUUGAAGAAGAGCCUGGACAAGGAGGGGCCGGUGCGGAAUCCAUGGACUGUGGAAAGUCACUGCGCCCAGCAAGGAGGCCCGCAGGGAAGACGGGACUUGUACACAAGGCCAGCCUUCUCCCCAGGUAAAGGAAAACACACAAGUGACGACCCUGACAAGAUAACAACCAAGUCGGAGCACUUUAACAAAACUGAGUGUGCCUACCACACGAUUUAAGCAGAAAGUCUUUGAGCAAGACUUAAGCAUAUGGAAAAUAUUUUUAAAAGUGGGUACAUAUACUGGGACAGAAAGAAUUUCUAGGGAAGCUAAGGAUAGUUCUAGAUUUCUUGUCAUGUCUUGGGACUGUUAGGAACCAAAGGGAGUUUUCACUUUAAAAGAAAAUGAAAGAGACAGACCUCAUUAAAAGAAUAAUGUUAAAUUAAUUUUAGCUGCAAAAUAGCAUUGCUGUCAUUUAAAGUAAAGGCAGAGCUGCCAGCAUUGCUGCCACAGGUUCAGUUCAUUACAGCUAGUGAUGGACCCUGAGGACAUGAGAGAGAGAAGACCUAAGUACCCACAGAGCAUGUCCGGGAGUGAUUAAAAUUCACUGGUUCACGAGUCCUUCCAAACACUUUCUGGUCCAUUCAUUGAAACUAUGGAAAAAUUGGGAACUCACAUUUCUAACUCUACAAUGUGGAAAGCUUAAAUUAUAAAAAGAUGGAAAUGAAGGAAAUGUUGAAAACAAGAAACACCAAUUUAGUAAUAGCUAAUCUGAAUUUAUUGGUAUUUUUUAAUUUAAGAAAAUGCAGAGGAGAUAAAAGGAUCAGAAUUGUAAUGAAGUUCCUAUCAUAAUGUAUCAAUGGAAGGGAAAAAGGGGGCUUUCAUAAAGCUUGUACAAAUGAAGGGCAACACCAUCAUCCAGACUCUAUUUAUAUCUUAUUAUAAUAAAUAUUUGAGUUGCUCUUUACAUAAUGCAUAUGCUAAUAAGAAGUCCUUAAAAAGUCAGUUGACCUCCUUGAACAUGCCAAUAUCAAAUGAAUUGGAAACUAUCUUUUAAACAUUAGAAUUGCUACAUUUGGUGAAUGCUUUCCAUGAUCCUAGCAUUGUUUAAGGCAAUUUACACUCAAUUUCAUUGAACUUUUCUAGGAGCUUCAUGAAGAACUACUGCUUUCAUACAGUAGCAGGGUAAAAUGAGAGAGGGUUAGUAACUCAUCCAAGGACACAUUGACAGUAAAUAGAGGAGCCAUGGCUUAAAUCUAAGUAUGGAUCUCUCUGAUACAGAGCACAUGGUCUUUCUGUUAUGCCACACUCUGACAUCUCCAUCUGAAUUAAGAAGAUUUCAUAGUUUAAGGAGGAAGAGAGAGUAUUCUGAGGCAUGGAAACCAAAGGCAGUGCUACUGGGGGCAGACAGCCAGAGGAGGAGAGGUAAGGUGGUGAGGCAGAAAAUCAGGUGUUCAAUGAAUGAUGAUGUUGAUGGGAAACAGGAAGGCAUGCUUAGGAGAAGAAAUGACAGGAUAAGUAGGAUUCUCCCUUGAGUGAAGUUCACAGAGGCCUGCGUGGAUCCUUCCAUGACUAUGAAAUAAAAAGAACCAUAUCCAGAUGGUCAUGAUAGAGGACUCUUGUAGAAAUGGAGGAAGGAUUAAGACACACGGGUGGAGACAUGGUCACUGACACUGCAGAGAUAAUGCAUCCUUAUUUUGAUUUUUAGCUCAUUAUGAAAGAUAGAAAAGUCAUUUAAAGAUUUAUGAUUUCAGAGGUUUGGGAUACAAUUACCUGUUUUGUCAUUUUCUUCUGUUAAUAUUUAAAGCUGUCAGUGAGUGAGGGUGCUUGCCAGGACUGGUGUAGGGAGAGGCAGUGAUGGUUCCUUAUCUUUUCUAAUGCAUACUGAAGAUCAUGGUAGACCAGAUAUCAACAUUACAAUCUGAGCUUUUAGUAUCAUCUUCCUUUAUUCUCAUGAUACACCAAAAGGAAUUCAGAGAACUCAGGAUGAUGCUGGAUAUUCUAGGGGAAAAAAGAUAAUAUACAAAGUAAGAGAAAAUCUUAGGUACUUAGAAAUUUUGAUUAGUUAUUCUUUUUUUAAAUUUUUAAAAUUUUUUAAAGAAGAUAAAACAAUACAACCAAUCACAACAAACCAGUGUAAGAGAUAUAUGACCUCAAAACAUUACAAAAUUAACAAUAGUUACCAUAGUGCCUUUAGAUGGUUUCAAAAUAGCUGCAGAUACCUUCGGACAUAGUAAAAACCAAACAGAACAGAAUAGAAUAGAAACAAUACAAACAAAACAAUGAAUGCAAUAAAGCAUUUCAAACACGCUAAUAGUAAACCCAAAAUUGCUAUCAUAAUAUGUCUUGCUAUCCUUGAAAUAGCUUCUCCUGCCAUCAGAUUUAACAUAAUCAAACAAAACAAAAGAGGAUAAAACCCAACCCAACAAAACAAAUGGAAACAAUAUACGGUCUCGAAACAAGAACAUAGGGAGUCAACAAUGGAUGCAACCCUCAGAAGGAGAUCCCCUCUAGAUGCCACACCAUAGUGGCACCAUAUAUCAGUACAUAUACUGAUAUAUGAAUCCAUGAUCAGACCACUGGCCCUAGACCUGCAGUGUUAGUGCAACACCAGAGCACCACAGGGGCAUCCAAUUGCAUUUCACCUGGAUAGCUAUCAUCACAGCCUGUGUUUCUCUGGAUAAGCUGGUGGCUUGGAGGGAAGGUUGGUACUUCUUGCUUACCAGCUCAUAUGCCAGAAGGGGCUGGGCACUGGCUGUUCCCAGUCCUGCGGCGGCCUGCACAUGGCGCGUGUUUACAGACUGGGUUUGUUUGCUGGUGCGGCCAUUGUUUUCUCUUGAUCAGAGCUAUUCUUAAGUGGAAAGAUUCUAUCAUGUAGUAGAGCUGUAGAAAGAAGUGGCCUAACAUUGAACAGUAGAUAAUAAUAAAUGGAAAACCAAAGAAAAGCUAUAUUAAAACAAAAACAAAAACAAAAGCAACACCUAUCUUAAUGUGACUGAACAAUGUAUAAACUGUUUUAACACAGUUAUAACUAAAAAACUAGCUAAGUUUCUUCAAUUCACAUUUCAAAUCAUUUUAGGAUGAAAUGUUUUUGGUCUCUCUCCCUAAUGUAUGGGUAGAAAAUUCUAUUUCUAAAUAGAUAUAUUUUUACUGUUUCUUAUUAAUGUAAAAAUAUAACACAUGUUCUCUUUUCCAGAAGUUUAAAAAAAUAAAAAUUCUUGAAAUGAAAUUUGCAAACCACAGAACAAUCUAAAGAAAAAGGAAACAAUGUCAUCACCCAAAGACAACAGACUUGGGUAUUUCCUCCAGGGCUCUUUGCAUGUCUCUGGGAAGGUGACAGGCUUCCAUAGCACUCUUUCCAACAGCCAAAAUCAACAUAUGUACUGUUCCUGUUGCUCCCUGGUACUCAUGCUGCUAAGAAAAUAGGAAAUUCAUGAUCAUGGCUGUGUAACCUUAAGUCUGCACUUAUCCUAAAGACAAAAGAAAUGAUUCUAUCCACUCUGCAAAGUGAUAACCCCAUGGCUAAAAAAUCAGACAAAAGAACAAGAUUCUUACAUUAUAGAUAGCACAUAAAAUAACUUCAAUUUUCCAAUUUGAUCUUUGUGGCUUAGCAUAUUCAAAGUUCAUAAAUGGCUUCCUGAUGAUCCAGCAGAAAACUCAUCCAUAUUUAGGCCUGGGUCUCAGAUUCUUGGUUUCAUUAUUGCUCUGGGGAAGAUGCUCCACUAGACACUUUUCAUACUUAAAUCUAAAGAUAGUCAUGGAUUUGGGCAUGCGUCUCCUGUGUUAGACAGAUUCUGAAGUAAUUUCUCUUCUAAAUCCUUUCUUAACUCAAACAUUAAAGCUGCAAAGCCUCAUUUUCAAAAAUUAUUUAGGAAGUAUUGGUUUUACUGUUCCUUUUUUCAACAUUAUUAUUAUUUACCCCUCUUGGAUUUGUGUUUCAUUUACUGGAGUAUGCUCACAAGUACUAUCUUUUCAAAUCUGAAAAAUUUGAGGUUGGCUAGUUUUUGUGCAAUACCUAUUAACAGUGUCUCAGAACUGGUGUUUUAUGAAAUAUAUAUAUGGGGGAACAAUGGCAGAAGUUUAAUAAAUUUAUGUUGACUAAAAGUAUUGAAGUCUCAAACCAAAUUUGAUUCUGUUAUUAAGAUCAAACUUCCUGACCAAAGAACCCCUGAGGUCCAUUCAUUCAAAUGGACCUCACACAAAAGAUUACUAGGAAUGUAUAUUUAUAGUAUUCCAGUACAUGGUAUUUUAUUUUUAAUCCCCCUAUGACAUCAUAUUGUAUUGCUGAAUUAUAGACAAAUAAACAGAAGUGGGAAAUUUACCCUGCUUUCCUAAGGUAUUAAAAUAGAAAAUUCCUCAAAUAAGAUAGAUUAAAUAAAGCUGUGAGUUUGUUAGUAUCCCUUUUACUCCAUCCUCCCAUUAAAGACAAAUUAAAUCAGAAGUAUGUAAGAUAAGAAAGUGCGUAUCCUCUGCUUAUGAACUAUUAGACCACUGAGCCCAGUUUACUUCUGUUACCAACUUACAAAAAGUGAGAAAAUAAAAUCUGAAUAAGAGUUAAUGCUUAGGAAGAACUCAGGCCAGAACCCUAGGCCAGAGUAGCAACACUAUUUGAAAUAAGACCUUUAAAAUACUAAUUUUAAAGCUAUAAGUGGUUAAUUCUCAUUUCUUUCUUCUGAGUUAUUUGUACUCAGAAUUCAAAUUUUCCAAGCUGAAGUGUCUCAGGCAUUUGAACAAACAUAAAGAUAAUGUAUUCUAGUCUGGAAAUACAGAGUUAAAGUUAAAUGACAAAUCUCUUUUUGGGGACAAGUUAGAUCCUGCUGGGUUUGGAGAAUGAAUAUGACAGUCUUCACCUUCAUAUCCUGGAGGAACUCCAUCAUGGCCCUGGAAUUCCCACUUGGGAACUUGAAACAAGCUUGAUUUCAUUCUCUGCAAUGAACAUAUGGUGCAUGUACAAAUAGCUUCUAAGCCUUUUGAUGUUCAUUAAGAGGAAGGAGUGGGGGUCUGUUUCCUGGAGAAGUAUGGGGCACUAGGGAGCAUUAAAGAAAGAAACAAUGGCAGAGGAAAUGGCAGUCUUUUGCACUCAUUAUGUUUUUGUGAACAAUGAAUUUCGUAAUUUUGGGGACUUUGAAUGGAAAUGUUGCAGGUUCCAGUCCUGUUUCUACCGCUGUCUUGGGGGAACAUGCAUAGUACCUCUACACUUAGAUGCUCAUUUGAAAACAACAAGUCAACAUCCUACUUACUUCCCUUAGUCUUCUUAUGAAGAUAAUAAAAUUUCAGUGAUUACAUUCACUGGAAAAAAGUCUUGUGGAAUAGCUUGAAAACUUAUUAAAAGGCAUGACUAUCGUCAUUUUUUCUGUCUUCCAAUUUUGCACAUUUAUUUUGCUUUCUUAAAGAUAGAGAAUAAUAGAAAAAUGUAAAGAAGAAAAUGAUAGCCCUUAAUAAUUACAUCAACUAUAAAUAUAUAACUUUUAACGCAUAUCCUUACAAUCAUAUCAAUAUGUAUAUAUGGUUUUGUCUCUGAAGUAAAAUUUAAACGAGUGAUUUUUGUUUAUUAAACAGAGUUAUUCUAAUA